UAAGCUAGCUACCAUUCAAGCCAACAUUAGAUGAUAACUAACGUUAGCUAAACACAGCUGUCUAGGCGCCAGUGGCUAACGUUCACGUUAGCUA